AUGAAGCUCAGAGAAGGAAAACACUUGAAAGAUGUCUGGUCCUUGGUUCAGCUGUUGUUGCUAGACAAGUUAACACCCAGCCCAAUCUAAGCAGAUGUCUGUUUAAAAUGAGGGACAGAAAAUGAUGCCAGCUAGACUGUUGAAAUUUAUAUUUCAAUUUUCUUUAUAUAUUUUUUCUCGCUUUAUUUUGUUUUGUUUUGAUAAGGAGACGUCUGGAAAUAAAUAUCCUUGCAUUUAUUGCCAGGUACUUUGUUCACUAACAAAGUACAUCUGGCAGCACUUCCCUCGUGUUGCUGCUUCUUCCUGCUCCUGCUCUCCAUCAACCAAGGUUUUUGUUGACAUUGGUGUCAGAAGUGGGACCCGAAGUAACCCCCGGACCCUUCCCUGCACUGUCUUGGAUCAUCGCAUCAGCACCUACAAGAGCCCCGUGAGCUCAGUUGCUCUUUGGCAGUGUUGAGAGACUUCUGGAUUCCUUCCUCAGCAAACUCCUUGGAGAUGAAGAAUCAAGGCAUAAUCCACCUCCUGGAGAUUUUAUUUAUUGGAAAUUACACCAACUCAAGGACUCUCUACAGUCUCAUUGGAAAAGGCCUUACAAGGCAUUGCAACUUAAGGGGGAAAGAAACCUGUAUACAGGCAAUAAAAGCAAAAAUAAACAAUUGGGACAACAUCAAACUAAAAAGCUUCUGUACAGCAAAGGAAACAAUCAACAAAAUGAAAAGUCACUGAAAAAACGAGACUGAGAGGAGGUAAUUGCUGAACCAGGA
rnacentral:lncRNA from 1 species